CCUACGGGAGGCAGCAGUGAGGAAUAUUGGUCAAUGGACGAGAGUCUGAACCAGCCAAGUAGCGUGAAGGAUGACUGCCCUAUGGGUUGUAAACUUCUUUUAUAAAGGAAUAAAACGAGGCACGUGUGCCUUUUUGCAUGUACUUUAUGAAUAAGGAUCGGCUAACUCCGUACAAGCAGCAGCGGUAAUACGGAGGAUCCGAGCGUUAACCGGAUUAAUUGGGUUUAAAGGAAGCGUAGAUGGGUUGUUAAGUCAGUUGUGAAAGUUUGCGGCUCAACCGUAUAAUUGCAAUUGAUACUGGCAGUCUUGAGUACAGUUGAGGUAGGCGGAAUUCGUGGUGUAGCGGUGAAAUGCUUAGAUAUCACGAAGAACCCCGAUUGCGAAGGCAGCUUACUAAACUGUGACUGACAUUGAUGCUCGAAAGUGUGGGUAUCAAACAGGAUUAGAUACCCUGGUAGUC
rnacentral:rRNA from 1 species